GCUCCGGCAACCAAACUGGUUAAGGCAGCACACUUUCACUGUGGCAAUUGCGAGUUCAAUUCUCGUCCGGAGUA
rnacentral:tRNA from 1 species